rnacentral:lncRNA from 1 species
ACUUCCCCAUGACCACAGAGGCAGAAUUUGGAAUGAGCAACUGACAGACCCGAAGGGAGAACCUACAGUUUAUACACUUCUCCCAGCUUAGAGAAAAGGAGUAUGGUGCCAUUACAUGGCAUCUUCACCCAUCGCCAGCCUUUCUACAUCUAGAAGAAGUCCAAUAGCUUUUGGGAAGAUUUUGGAGGAAGGCGGGAGAAGAAGGGAUUCUUCAGAGACUGAAACAGAGAUCUUUCUUUCAGGUAUCAGAAUUUCAAUCCUGGAAAGAUAUUAUUCUGCCUAUAUAACUGAGCAAUAAGCAGAUCCUGGGCAGGAAUGGAGGCUGCAGCAUUUAAUCAACACAGCCAUGGACUGGGAGAUCUGGAUUACAUUCCUGUCUCUGCAGUGGACACUGGAAACGUACUCCCCUGUGCUCUACGUGUCUCCACCUGCAAGGUGCAAAUCACUAUCACUUACAAAUUGCAGGAAAAACAAUGGAGUGGAGGUUGUCUUCUGGUCAGAUUUUGACAGGAAUGCAUGGCUUGACAUGCACUGGAGAAAGCAUGGGCUGUUCCUGGAGGUGUUGCCUUCCUUAUUUUGAAAUGUAAUUAAAAAAAAAAAAAAGUACAGAAAAUGUGCCUUUAAAACUGGAAUAUAUCCCAAAACUUCGCAUUUAUUGUUAAUUUUUCUGGUGGGAUUCUAGCAGCUAGUUAGUCUUUCUAGGCUAUGUUUUCUGGUACUUUACCUCACCUCAACUGCGUUUAUUUAUAACCUGAAAGCUCACGUUACCAAAUGUUCUUUUUCUUACCUUUUAUAUCCCUUGAGACAUAUAACUCUGGCCUAGAUUAAAGACAAUAAAAGAGAGACAGGAAAUGCUGCA